GAUUCUCUUCGAGUUGUCAGAGUGGUUUUCUUUCGGUUCGCUCGUCGAAGGAAGGUUUAUUUAUUUGCUUUUCAUUCACUAUAAUUGUAAUUUGAGAAACAUAUUUUUAGUGGAACUGUUAAUAACUAUUUAUAGUGAUUAACGACUGGACGUAGAUUCUUUUGAAUCGAACCAGUAUAAAAAUUACUUCUGUGAUUUUUCUACUCCCUGCACUUGUUACUUUUGCCUGCACUCAAACUGUUCGAUUAAUUUUCUGAAAGAAUAUUAUUUUGUGAAAAAGGACCAACUUCGUUUUAACAGUGACUGAACACGCUUAUACACUACUCUAAGUUUUAAUUCCGCUGCGUUAUACUCUUCGAACUAUACCCCCUCC
rnacentral:lncRNA from 1 species